rnacentral:rRNA from 1 species
GACGAACGCUGGCGGCGUGCUUAACACAUGCAAGUCGAACGGAAAGGCCCUGCUUUUGUGGGGUGCUCGAGUGGCGAACGGGUGAGUAACACGUGAGUAACCUGCCCUUGACUUUGGGAUAACUUCAGGAAACUGGUGCUAAUACCGGAUAGGAGCUCCUGCUGCAUGGUGGUGGUUGGAAAGUUUCGGCGGUUGGGGAUGGACUCGCGGCUUAUCAGCUUGUUGGUGGGGUAGUGGCAUACCAAGGCUUUGACGGGUAGCCGGCCUGAGAGGGUGACCGGCCACAUUGGGACUGAGAUACGGCCCAGACUCCUACGGGAGGCAGCAGUGGGGAAUAUUGCACAAUGGGCGGAAGCCUGAUGCAGCAACGCCGCGUGCGGGAUGACGGCCUUCGGGUUGUAAACCGCUUUCGCCUGUGACGAAGCGUGAGUGACGGUAAUGGGUAAAGAAGCACCGGCUAACUACGUG